UCCGAGGAGCAGCUUGCUGCGAUGAAAUAAUCGCCCGAGCAGCAGGAUCUUCGCUGGGGAUUAGAGAGGCUGCUACUUGCUGAGCUAGGGAAACAGCCGACGAGGAGGGAAAAGUCCUACUGCCUCCUCCAGCACCUCGACUCCUUUGCCAAAGUGAUCGCCUGCUGCAGACAGAGCGAGAUCCUAGGCAGAGCUCAGCCCUGGAAACUUCUGUGCCUGAUGCUCGGACACUUUUGCAAAGUCCCCUUCCACCCUCCUCUCGCUGCUCCCUGCGGAACCGCUCCCCAGCCCCGGCCGGCGGGAGGGGUGGAGAAGAGGGGCACUCACCAGCCGGGUCAUCCCGCUGCACGGAGGGACGACGGCAAGAGCUAUACAUGGAUUUCCAAUGCAGAGUGGUUUAAGGCAGUUUUGCUUCCACUCCAGGCUCAGUUUUUUUCAUCUCCCCCCUCUCUCUGUCUUCUGUGGGAUCCUAGUGUGACCAUCCCUUGAGGAUUCCUCAUUUUCUUCCCCAAAUAUCCCACAUCUCUCUUUCUUUUUUUAACUGUUCACAAAACGUGGGAACCCCAAGCCCAAAGGAACAUCCCUGGUUUGAGGAGAAGGCACA